GGUUAAGCGACUAAGCGUACACGGUGGAUGCCCUGGCAGUCAGAGGCGAUGAAGGACGUGCUAAUCUGCGAAAAGCGCCGGCGAGGUGAUAUGAACCUUUGACCCGGCGAUGUCCGAAUGGGGAAACCCAGUGUGUUCCGACACACUAUCGUUAACUGAAUACAUAGGUUAACGAGGCGAACCGGGGGAACUGAAACAUCUAAGUACCCCGAGGAAAAGAAAUCAACCGAGAUUCCCCCAGUAGCGGCGAGCGAACGGGGAGCAGCCCAGAGUCUGAAUCAGCUUGUGUGUUAGUGGAAGCGUCUGGAAAGUCGCACGGUACAGGGUGACAGUCCCGUACACGAAAAUGCACAGGUUGUGAACUCGAAGAGUAGGGCGGGACACGUGGUAUCCUGUCUGAAUAUGGGGGGACCAUCCUCCAAGGCUAAAUACUCCUGACUGACCGAUAGUGAACCAGUACCGUGAGGGAAAGGCGAAAAGAACCCCGGCGAGGGGAGUGAAAAAGAACCUGAAACCGUGUACGUACAAGCAGUGGGAGCACCUUCGUGGUGUGACUGCGUACCUUUUGUAUAAUGGGUCAGCGACUUAUAUUCUGUAGCAAGGUUAACCGUAUAGGGGAGCCGAAGGGAAACCGAGUCUUAACUGGGCGUUAAGUUGCAGGGUAUAGACCCGAAACCCGGUGAUCUAGCCAUGGGCAGGUUGAAGGUUGGGUAACACUAACUGGAGGACCGAACCGACUAAUGUUGAAAAAUUAGCGGAUGACUUGUGGCUGGGGGUGAAAGGCCAAUCAAACCGGGAGAUAGCUGGUUCUCCCCGAAAGCUAUUUAGGUAGCGCCUCGUGAACUCAUCUUCGGGGGUAGAGCACUGUUUCGGCUAGGGGGCCAUCCCGGCUUACCAACCCGAUGCAAACUACGAAUACCGAAGAAUGUUAUCACGGGAGACACACGGCGGGUGCUAACGUCCGUCGUGAAGAGGGAAACAACCCAGACCGCCAGCUAAGGUCCCAAAGUCAUGGUUAAGUGGGAAACGAUGUGGGAAGGCACAGACAGCCAGGAUGUUGGCUUAGAAGCAGCCAUCAUUUAAAGAAAGCGUAAUAGCUCACUGGUCGAGUCGGCCUGCGCGGAAGAUGUAACGGGGCUAAACCAUGCACCGAAGCUGCGGCAGCGACACUAUGUGUUGUUGGGUAGGGGAGCGUUCUGUAAGCCGUUGAAGGUGUGCUGUGAGGCAUGCUGGAGGUAUCAGAAGUGCGAAUGCUGACAUAAGUAACGAUAAAGCGGGUGAAAAGCCCGCUCGCCGGAAGACCAAGGGUUCCUGUCCAACGUUAAUCGGGGCAGGGUGAGUCGACCCCUAAGGCGAGGCCGAAAGGCGUAGUCGAUGGGAAACAGGUUAAUAUUCCUGUACUUGGUGUUACUGCGAAGGGGGGACGGAGAAGGCUAUGUUAGCCGGGCGACGGUUGUCCCGGUUUAAGCAUGUAGGCGGAACGAUUAGGUAAAUCCGGUCGUUUUUAACGCUGAGGUGUGAUGACGAGGCACUACGGUGCUGAAGUAACAAAUGCCCUGCUUCCAGGAAAAGCCUCUAAGCAUCAGGUAACAUCAAAUCGUACCCCAAACCGACACAGGUGGUCAGGUAGAGAAUACCAAGGCGCUUGAGAGAACUCGGGUGAAGGAACUAGGCAAAAUGGUGCCGUAACUUCGGGAGAAGGCACGCUGAUAUGUAGGUGAAGCCCCUGCGGGUGGAGCUGAAAUCAGUCGAAGAUACCAGCUGGCUGCAACUGUUUAUUAAAAACACAGCACUGUGCAAACACGAAAGUGGACGUAUACGGUGUGACGCCUGCCCGGUGCCGGAAGGUUAAUUGAUGGGGUUAGCGGCAACGCGAAGCUCUUGAUCGAAGCCCCGGUAAACGGCGGCCGUAACUAUAACGGUCCUAAGGUAGCGAAAUUCCUUGUCGGGUAAGUUCCGACCUGCACGAAUGGCGUAAUGAUGGCCAGGCUGUCUCCACCCGAGACUCAGUGAAAUUGAACUCGCUGUGAAGAUGCAGUGUACCCGCGGCAAGACGGAAAGACCCCGUGAACCUUUACUAUAGCUUGACACUGAACACUGGUCCUUGAUGUGUAGGAUAGGUGGGAGGCUUUGAAGUGUGGACGCCAGUCUGCAUGGAGCCGUCCUUGAAAUACCACCCUUUAAUGGCUGGUGUUCUAACGUAGACCCGUGAUCCGGGUUGCGGACAGUGUCUGGUGGGUAGUUUGACUGGGGCGGUCUCCUCCCAAAGAGUAACGGAGGAGCACGAAGGUUAGCUAAUCCUGGUCGGACAUCAGGAGGUUAGUGCAAUGGCAUAAGCUAGCUUGACUGCGAGAGUGACGGCUCGAGCAGGUGCGAAAGCAGGUCAUAGUGAUCCGGUGGUUCUGAAUGGAAGGGCCAUCGCUCAACGGAUAAAAGGUACUCCGGGGAUAACAGGCUGAUACCGCCCAAGAGUUCAUAUCGACGGCGGUGUUUGGCACCUCGAUGUCGGCUCAUCACAUCCUGGGGCUGAAGUAGGUCCCAAGGGUAUGGCUGUUCGCCAUUUAAAGUGGUACGCGAGCUGGGUUUAGAACGUCGUGAGACAGUUCGGUCCCUAUCUGCCGUGGGCGCUGGAGAAUUGAGGGGGGCUGCUCCUAGUACGAGAGGACCGGAGUGGACGCAUCACUGGUGUUCGGGUUGUCAUGCCAAUGGCACUGCCCGGUAGCUAAAUGCGGAAAAGAUAAGUGCUGAAAGCAUCUAAGCACGAAACUUGCCCCGAGAUGAGUUCUCCCUGAGACUUUAAGUCUCCUGAAGGAACGUUGAAGACGACGACGUUGAUAGGUCGGGUGUGUAAGCGCAGCGAUGCGUUGAGCUAACCGAUACUAAUGAACCGUGAGGCUUAACCUU
rnacentral:rRNA from 1 species